rnacentral:sRNA from 1 species
UAGUUGAGUGUAUCUAAAAGCAAGCAAA